GACGGGACCCGCACAAGCGGUGGAUGAUGUGGUUUAAUUCGAUGCAACGCGAAAACCUUACCCACCUUUGACAUGUACGGAAUCCUUUAGAGAUAGAGGAGUGCUCGAAAGAGAGCCGUAACACAGGUGCUGCAUGGCUGUCGUCAGCUCGUGUCGUGAGAUGUUGGGUUAAGUCCCGCAACGAGCGCAACCCUUGUCAUUAGUUGCUACAUUUGGUUGGGCACUCUAAUGAGACUGCCGGUGACAAGCCGGAGGAAGGUGGGGAUGACGUCAAGUCCUCAUGGCCCUUAUAGGUGGGGCUACACACGUCAUACAAUGGCUGGUACAAAGGGUUGCCAACCCGCGAGGGGGAGCUAAUCCCACAAAGCCAGUCGUAGUCCGGAUCGUAGUCUGCAACUCGACUACGUGAAGUCGGAAUCGCUAGUAAUCGUGGAUCAGAAUGUCACGGUGAAUACGUUCCCGGGUCUU
rnacentral:rRNA from 1 species